CUUUGGAUGCAGAAGGGGGAGACUGCGGUGCUAGUGUUCAGACAUAAUGCUGGCACCAUGGAACUGGAGGUCCAGAUGGUGGAUCUUACUACAAACCAAAGACGAUCCUGUUGUUUCCCUCCCUCUUCCAAUCUGUUAAGAGAUUCCAAAACGGGACUCAGUUCUACACUGAACCACAAACAUGGGAUCCUGGUCCCUAAUGUGAGAACAACCUUCAAUGUGAGCUAUUUUGGGAGGCUGGGCAUGAAUAUGAUAAAUCAAUUAAUGUGCAGAGGGGGGUGUCCCAAAUUCCAACAUACAAAACUUCAGAAAUCAAUCCACAGCUUUUGUCUAGUGAAUUAUGUAUUUAGUGGCUUGCUUAGAGUCUUACUGAAGAAUUACUUUCAGAUGGCGUACAUCUAGCACCCGGGCCAACUCUGCCUGAUAAGUUUUCUACAAUAUCUGCUACAAGUGAUGGGAAUGAAAGGUGGAGUGAGAAAGGAAGAAUUCAUUCAUUCAUUCAUUCAUUCAGAAUCACUGUCAACUUUCCCUAUGAUUGGGAGUGGAGCUUCUAUAGAUAACCUUCUGUUAUGAUUGUUCAUGUGGCUUCAAAUACAACCCAAAUCAGCCCAGAGAGACUCGUGGGUUUGAAACUUCUAAACUGAUCAUCAGUUAGGUUCAAGGCCUAAAAUGUAUAAUGGUUUGGCAGCACUUUUCAAAUGCUCUUUAUAUGAUAUAUUUUUGAAGUUGUUCUGUCUCCCAGAUUAGUCUCGGAAAACUGUUGAUUCUCAUCAAAAAGCCCAGAAACAACCAAAUUCUGAAUUUGUAUAUGUUUGUUUCCACUAGCUGUUCUACUAUAUGAUCACAAAAAUAAUAGUGAAUGAGUAAUAACUCAGCUACUUUCCUCACCCAAUCCAACACUGAAAGUAGUAGGGAGAAACAACAUUAAAAGUCAAAACAAUGGCUGCAUCAGUCUGGUAUUGACUGUAAGAGAGAUACUUUGACCUCGUUUCUUUAUGGAGCAGUAAGUCAUCUCCUUCAAAUAUUACAGCUUCAUCGUCGUGCCAUUUAUUUCAAGGUAUUUUGUCCCUGAUUGUCCCUAAUUUUGACAGUUUAUGUCCAAUAUUUUAGAGUUGAAGGGUUGCACAUCAUGCUUAUCAGACAUUCCUUCCACUGACACAAUGUUCAAAACUUGCUGGCAGGCAAAAAUCUGGGAGGAGUGAAUCUCUUGUGUUAUCUAAAAUCUUGACUGACUGACAUAGCAUGCCUGGCAACUGACAAAAUCCAACUUAAGUGCAUCUCCUAUCCACUCUGAAACCACACACUUAGCCAGUAAUUUGCACAGAGGGCAACUCAAGAAAUAGGUUUUUAACUGAUUAAUGUUGAACCAAAAUAAGAGUAUGAAUGGUUUAGUCUUGGAAUAGAGAAUAAGUGGAGUGUUCAGGGUAGAGGCGGGGAGGGACAGGGAGGAGGAAGGAGAGGGAAUAGCUGUCCAGAGCAGGAAAACAAAAACCUAAAAAAUAAGAAGAAAACAGUUAUUAAACAAAAGUAUUUAAUUUCAUCUGAAUUAAAUUUAAUGUGUUGGCUUUAAAAUAAUAUAUUCACUAUUUUGGUUUUACUAUAUAACAACAGUGAAGUUUAUAUGUGGUGAUUUUUGUAUCUCAGGGCUGAUUCAGAGAAAUAUGCAUCUUAGUUAAAGCGUAUAACUUGAUGAUCUGUAGAGCAGCAUGUAACUGUCUCCAUUGAAAAGUAUUGUAUUUUAGGUGAUAUAAUACUAUAGGUGGGUUCACAUGAUCACUGGCCAUCUGGAAGUGGGGGAAAUGUUGGUAAAUAUCAGGACAUGAGAGCAGGUGCUCCAUUCAAUCUAUAUUUGAAGCUGGACAGAGAAUGUCAGGCGAAUUUUGGGGAUCAGGACUUGGGCUUGUUCAGACAACAUACCCACCAGAAACGCACUUUCUCACAUCCCAAUGUUUAAUCAACAUUUACUCCACUUCCAGAAUGGUCAAUGGUUAUGUGGACAGCAGCUUUCCAUGAAAGCUGUAGUCCAUCUGUAGUAUUUAAUAUCCGGUGGUUGUUCCACAAAAGCAAGUUAUCAUUUGAUGUUGCAGUCAUUGAGUGAUGGAAUGUGAUCUUACUGCCUUUUCUGACUACAACAAUAGCA